ensembl:lncRNA
AUGUCUGUGCCAUGCAUAUCUGAAUGGUGUUGGUUGCUACAAUGGCAAGAGAACGGCAUUGUGGAAAUAGGGAGUGCAGGCAGUUUUGUCCUGUGUCCCCCAGCAGACUUCAUUCCCUACACAAAGGAGAGAAAUACCAUCUCACAAAAGAUGUCUGAGCACAUCAUUGCUGUGAUCUGAACCAGCCAUGCAACAUCCAAGACAGGUACACAUAUUGAACAAAAAGAUUUAGGAAUCAGUGGACUCCUUUCCUUGGUUGCCUUCUCAGGCAGACAGGUCUCUUUAUAGUCAGGAUUAUAUGGCCUCCAGCAUCUCAUCAUCAGAGCAUUUUAUAAUAAGCAGUACCUUAGUCCUUUCCACCACAGUCAGAUAGGGAAUAACUAGUUAGCUUCGUUGUGUGUACGGGAACCCCAGAAAACAGAGCUACAUUCAUCUCUUUUUACUUAGCUGUUUAGUCCAACUGAUUCUUACAGCUGCCUAGUAAUCAGGGAAGCAAGGCCAGUACCUCUGCAAGGCACCUUCCAAUGCUGGUGGACAAAUCUGGCAUUAGGAAGUUCCUGCCUCUGCUGACUACUGAUUUGCCAUACACAAAAUAAUGUUAACGAGCUGAAUCUCACGUUGAGGGGAGGGGGACCUAAAGAGUUUUAUGCAUUAGAGCAGAGAACAGAACCCAGCUCUCCUUAGUUGCAGCCAUGUGCUCAUACCACUAAGCCAUUUUCUCUCUUAUUUAUGUAAACUGAGGGAAUUUUGGUUUCCAGCUUCGUAAACAAGGAUUUAACUACUUCCUCUCUCCUCCCAAAUAACUUUCCCUGAAAUGAGCAUGGUAAACACAACCCUCGCUCUCAAAAAGCCUUUCUGCUUGGUGUUAUUUUUGUAACUGAUUCUCUUCUGGAAAACAAACAACUCAAAUUUCUGCUGAAAACAACCCAAGGGAACCUCUUCACAGUAACAUUACAAGCAGUAUCACACAUACCCCCCUCCACUGGGUCGUGUGGCAGACAAAUGGACACUCACCCAUGGAUGGGUUUAUAAUCCUGUGACAAAGAAGCUCUAGGGCAGCUGGCAACAUGCAGAGAAUGUCAUAGAGUACCUCACUCCCUUCCAGCAUCAUGCCCUACUUGUCACACAAGCAGACAGUGCAGCAUGUAGCACCUGGCAUCAGGAGCUAGAAAGAAACUGUGACCUUAUGUUGGGCAUGUGUGAGUUGCUAAGAUGGUGGCUGGUGAGGAGAGAGAUGUUUGGCAUAGAAAGCAGGAGACUUGACAGGUUGGAGUAUUUUCAUCCUCAGUGCCCCCAAAUGACUUUCAGAUAAUGACGUUUUAGGAAAUUAUAAUCUUGCAUUUGUAGUUUACACCUGUCAAGGCUUAACUGAAUUGUGAAAGGUUAGAAAAUUGUUCUUUCAAAAUCAAAGUUCUCACAUAACUAGAGGAUGUAGAAGUGGGUCUAACCUGGCUUUGCAGAUUGCAUCCUUCCUCUCUGUCCCAUAGCAAUGAGUGCACACAAAUUCUCUGAUGCCAUUCCUGUUACCUUCAAUCCAUGGAAUCACAGUGGCAGAAAUCAAAGAGCUAGACAGAGAAGUAAGGACACGAUGUAAUAGGUGAAGAACGUGGACUGUGCUAAUCCUUUUGAAUGGGGGAUAGCAAGAAACUUGCUCCCUAUCAUGUAGUCUGGGAAUUUGUGUUGGGAGUGUGCCUUCUAAAUGCCUUUACACAAAAUUAGGCCUAAAAGCACAAAGCAGUUUGCAGCACUUUCAUUCCUAGGUCUCAAAGGAUUUGCAGAACAGAGAGGAGCACAUGGUAAUCCUUACUGUAGAAGGGGAAGCAGCAGCCCAGAGCAUUGUAUCACUGAGUAGCCAAGUUGGGAACCACACCUGAAUCAAUUGUAUUUUUGGUCAAAGCAGCCACUUCACUGCAAGUACAACAGGUAUGUUUUUCAUAGGCUGGAUAUUGGUUUUCUUUGGCAUGACAUUUGCUUUCUGUUCACAAGGGAGCUGGGAAUGACAGAACAACCAGUCCUCAGCCAGGGCCUCACUGCUGCUGAGGCAGAGCAGGGUCUGCAAGGAGAGUGUCUCAGUAUGGGAGGACAGAAGUUCCAGCCAGGACAGCUGAGGUGAAAAUCCAGCACAAAUCCAUAUGAGACACCCUUGCAGCUCAAGCCAUCCAUCAGCUAAUCCUCCCUUUGGCAAUUUCCCCACUUACUCCUUCCAUCAAAGGGGCUUGAGUUACAACGGCUGCUGUCUUAAUGAGUGAAGCUUUGAAGGAAGCUGGCUUCUCCAGGACAAAAAUAAAGUACUUUGCACUCUCUGGAUCA